GAUUAGUGGCGAACGGGUGAGUAACACGUGGGCAAUCUGCCCUUCACUCUGGGACAAGCCCUGGAAACGGGGUCUAAUACCGGAUAUGAGCCUGGGAGGCAUCUCCCGGGUUGUAAAGCUCCGGCGGUGAAGGAUGAGCCCGCGGCCUAUCAGCUUGUUGGUGAGGUAAUGGCUCACCAAGGCGACGACGGGUAGCCGGCCUGAGAGGGCGACCGGCCACACUGGGACUGAGACACGGCCCAGACUCCUACGGGAGGCAGCAGUGGGGAAUAUUGCACAAUGGGCGAAAGCCUGAUGCAGCGACGCCGCGUGAGGGAUGACGGCCUUCGGGUUGUAAACCUCUUUCAGCAGGGAAGAAGCGAAAGUGACGGUACCUGCAGAAGAAGCGCCGGCUAACUACGUGCCAGCAGCCGCGGUAAUACGUAGGGCGCAAGCGUUGUCCGGAAUUAUUGGGCGUAAAGAGCUCGUAGGCGGCUUGUCACGUCGGGUGUGAAAGCCCGGGGCUUAACCCCGGGUCUGCAUUCGAUACGGGCUAGCUAGAGUGUGGUAGGGGAGAUCGGAAUUCCUGGUGUAGCGGUGAAAUGCGCAGAUAUCAGGAGGAACACCGGUGGCGAAGGCGGAUCUCUGGGCCAUUACUGACGCUGAGGAGCGAAAGCGUGGGGAGCGAACAGGAUUAGAUACCCUGGUAGUCCACGCCGUAAACGGUGGGAACUAGGUGUUG
rnacentral:rRNA from 1 species